rnacentral:rRNA from 1 species
ACUCAAAUGAAUAGACGGGGGCCCGCACAAGCGGUGGAGCAUGUGGUUUAAUUCGACGCAACGCGAAGAACCUUACCUGGGCUCGAACGGCUCACGAGCGUCUCUGGAAACAGGGAUUUCCCGCAAGGGACGGGAGUCGAGGUGCUGCAUGGCUGUCGUCAGCUCGUGUCGUGAGAUGUUGGGUUAAGUCCCGCAACGAGCGCAACCCUUGUCCUGUGUUGCUAAUUCUGAAAAGGAUGCACUCUCAGGAGACCGCCAGCGAUAAGCUGGAGGAAGGUGGGGAUGACGUCAAGUCAUCAUGGCCUUUAUGUCCAGGGCUACACACGUGCUACAAUGGGCGGUACAAAGCGCCGCAAACCCGCAAGGGGGAGCAAAUCGCAAAAAACCGUUCUCAGUUCGGAUUGCAGGCUGCAACUCGCCUGCAUGAAGCUGGAAUCGCUAGUAAUGGCAUAUCAGAACGAUGCCGUGAAUACGUUCCCGGGCCUUGCACACACCGCCCGU